rnacentral:rRNA from 1 species
AACGAACGCUGGCGGCAUGCCUAACACAUGCAAGUCGAACGAGACCUUCGGGUCUAGUGGCGCACGGGUGCGUAACGCGUGGGAACCUGCCCUUAGGUUCGGAAUAACUCCCCGAAAGGGGUGCUAAUACCGGUUAAUGUCUUCGGACCAAAGAUUUAUCGCCUUUGGAUGGGCCUGCGUUGGAUUAGCUAGUUGGUAGGGUAAAAGCCUACCAAGGCGACGAUGCAUAGCUGGUCUGUGAGGAUGAUCAGCCACACUGGAACUGAGACACGGCCCAGACUCCUACGGGAGGCAGCAGUGGAGAAUAUUAGACAAUGGGCGAAAGCCUGAUCCAGCAAUGCCGCGGGAGUGAUGAAGGCCUUAGGGUUGUAAAGCUCUUUUACCCGGGAUGAUAAUGACGGUACCGGGAGAAUAAGCUCCGGCUAACUCCGUG